rnacentral:lncRNA from 1 species
GGGGGUGGGGCGUUGGGCCGCGGCCUGCGCGGGGUGGUCGUUCGCCUGUGGGGCCGCGUGGGCCCGAGCUGACCUUCGCGUCCGCGCCGAUGUCCGCCCCGUCACGCGCUCACGCUCCGCGCGGGGAGCCUGCAGGUUGCGGCGCUGCGAGGGCGGGGCCCGCCCCUGCUCGUCCGAGCGAGGAUGCACGAGAGUAAUAACGCUGCACGCGGAAGGGAGGCGGCGGCGGCCCGAAGACCUGGGGCGAGCCGGGGUCAGGGGCCAGGGGCAGAGGCCCGCGGGGACUGGAGAGGGACCAGGAGCAGAGCCGGCCCAGUCCUGGGGGGGUGCCCUCAGGGUCAUCACCCCAUCGUACAGAGGUGGGGUGCAGGCAGGUCUCCCUGCUGUGGGGUGCCCUCAGGGGUCAUCACCCCAUCGUACACAGAGUUGGGUGCAGGCAGGUCUCCCUGCUGUGGGGUGCCCUCAGGGUCAUCACCCCAUCGUACACAGAGUUGGGUGCAGGCAGGUCUCCCUGCUGUGGGGUGCCCUCAGGGUCAUCACCCCAUCGUACACAGAGUUGGGUGCAGGCAGGUCUCCCUGCUGUGGGGUGCCCUCAGGGUCAUCACCCCAUCGUACACAGAGUUGGGUGCAGGCAGGUCUCCCUGCUGUGGGGUGCCCUCAGGGUCAUCACCCCAUCGUACACAGAGUUGGGUGCAGGCAGGUCUCCCUGCUGUGGGGUGCCCUCAGGGUCAUCACCCCAUCGUACACAGAGGUGGGUGCAGGCAGGUCUCUCUGCUGUGGGGGUGCCCUUGCUGUCAUCACCCCAUCGUAGACACAGGUGGGUGCAGGCAGGUCUCCUUACUCUUGGGGUGCCCUCGCUGUCAUCACCCCCAUCAUAGACAGAGGUGGGGCACAGGUCUCACUCAAGGCCCCACACGGAGUAAAAUGGGGACAUCAGGGGUGGGGCGUGUUGUGAUGUGUGGCGUUGGAGGUGACAGGAUAUGUCAGGUUUGCCAUUCCAGCCGCACAAUUCAGUGGCCCUGGGUGUUUUCCCAGUUACACAGCUGUCACCACUUUCUACCCACAGGGGAUUUCGUCCUCCCAAGUUGGGAGUCCACACCAGCUCAGCAGUAACUCCCUACUUCCCCAGCCCCUGGCACCCACCACUUUGGACUCAUUUGACUGCUCUGGGGUCCCGACUGGAUGCAGACGUGGAAGCAGACUCUAUUUACCCUCUCGGACAUUCUCUCCAUAUCCUGGCACAUAUCAGAAUUUCAUUCCCUUUUAAAGCUGAAUAAUGGGGCACCCCGGGUGGCUCAGCAGUUUAGCGCCGCCUUCAGCCCCGGGCCUGAUCCCAGGGUCCUGGGAUCGAGUCCCACAUCAGGCUCCCUGCAUGGAGCCUGCUUCUCUCUCUGCCUGUGUCUUUGCCUCUCUCUCUCUCUCUCUCUCUGAGUAAAGAAAUAAAAUAUUUAAAAAAAA